AGAGUUUGAUGCUGGCUCAGAGUGAACGCUGGCGGCGUGCCUAACACAUGCAAGUUGAACGUGAAAGCUCCUUCGGGAGUAAGUAGAGUAGCAGACGGGUUAGUAAUGCAUAGGUAAUCUUCCUUCGAGUGGGGGACAACUCGCCGAAAGGCGGGCUAAUCCCGCAUGAUGUCAUUUUGUAUAAGCAGAAUGACCAAAGGGGGGGCUUCUUCGGAACCUCUCGCUUGAGGAUGAGCUUAUGUCCUAUUAGCUUGUUGGUGGGGUAAUGGCCUACCAAGGCACUGAUGGGUAGCCGAGCUGAGAGGCUGAUCGGCCACACUGGAACUGAGACACGGUCCAGACUCCUACGGGAGGCAGCAGUGGGGAAUUUUGCGCAAUGGGCGAAAGCCUGACGCAGCGACGCCGCGUGAGGGAUGAAGGUCUUCGUGAUCGUAAACCUCUGUCAGGAAGGAUUAAAGCACAAGGAUUAAUACCUCUUGUGUCUGACUUAACUUCCAAAGGAAGCCCCGGCUAACUACGUGCCAGCAGCCGCGGUAAUACGUAGGGGGCAAGCGUUACUCGGAUUUAUUGGGCGUAAAGCGAAUGUAGGCGGUUUGGUAAGUCAGAAGUGAAAUCCCUCAGCUCAACUGAGGAAUUGCCUUUGAUACUGCUAAACUUGAGGACAGGAGAGGAAAGUGGAAUUCCCGGUGUAGCGGUGGAAUGCGUAGAUAUCGGGAGGAACACCAGAGGCGAAGGCGGCUUUCUGGACUGUUCCUGACGCUGAGAUUCGAAAGCUAGGGGAGCAAAC
rnacentral:rRNA from 1 species